GUACGGUGAAGAGAUUUCGGUCAAUCAUGUGCAUCUUUAGUGGCGGACGGGUGAGUAACGCGUGGGUAACCUGCCUUACACAGGGGGAUAACACUUAGAAAUAGGUGCUAAUACCGCAUGAGCGCACAGGACCGCAUGGUCGAGUGUGAAAAACUGAGGUGGUGUAAGAUGGACCCGCGUCUGAUUAGCUGGUUGGUGAGGUAACGGCCCACCAAGGCGACGAUCAGUAGCCGGCCUGAGAGGGUGGACGGCCACAUUGGGACUGAGACACGGCCCAAACUCCUACGGGAGGCAGCAGUGGGGGAUAUUGGACAAUGGGGGGAACCCUGAUCCAGCGACGCCGCGUGAGUGAAGAAGUAUCUCGGUAUGUAAAGCUCUAUCAGCAGGGAAGAAGAAAUGACGGUACCUGAGUAAGAAGCCCCGGCUAACUACGUGCCAGCAGCCGCGGUAAUACGUAGGGGGCAAGCGUUAUCCGGAAUUACUGGGUGUAAAGGGAGCGUAGACGGUGAUGUAAGUCUGGAGUGAAAGGCGGGGGCCCAACCCCCGGACUGCUCUGGAAACUAUGUGACUGGAGUGCAGGAGAGGUGAGCGGAAUUCCUAGUGUAGCGGUGAAAUGCGUAGAUAUUAGGAGGAACACCAGUGGCGAAGGCGGCUCACUGGACUGUAACUGACGUUGAAGCUCGAAAGCGUGGGGAGCAAACAGGAUUAGAUACCCUGGUAGUCCACGCUGUAAACGAUGGAUGCUAGGUGUUGGGCUU
rnacentral:rRNA from 1 species